CGCGGCAUUACGGAGGUGUUGUUGUCUGUCUGCGCAGAGAGUGAUGGAUUACGUAGGAUUCGGCCAUCCUCAGACUCCUUCAAACUUCAAACACCCCCGCGCAUUUCUUCCCUCUAAUGACUUCCUUCCCUCAGCAACAAGCCCCAGAGAGACUGUCUACACAGCACCCUUCAAUCAUUCAACACAAAAGCAACAAAACACGCCUCUGUAAAUAUUUCAGUGGCCUCAGCACCCCGUCCAGGGUCCUGCUGCUCGCUGUCUGCUGGUCCUUGGAGGGAGCCAUUGUGCGCCCCGCUGCAGCCCGUUGUGCACUGGGCUGCUGGACAUUGCUGAUCUGUUGUGGAGAGGCAGCAGUGCCUGCAUGCAUGCAGCAGCAGAGGACAGGAUUAGGGGCUGAUGUUUCUCUGUGUCUAACUGGCUGCCAGGCAUGCUCUACUGCACUGGCACGCCUCACACGUUUUACAUCAUCUGAUUCCGAUUACAGCUGGCUGAAGAAAAUAUACUAAAGAUUGUACAAUACAGCAGAGAAUUACAAAAAAAAAAAA